GGGGCGGGAGUGGGAAGAUGGUGGCAGGGUGGGGGUCGGUGAGGGGAACGGUGGGACGGCGGCGGCGGCCCCUGCUCCGCGCUGAGGACGGCCAGAAGCUGCGCGCAGUAGGUACAGCCUAGCAGUGCCGUUUCCUUACAGCAAGAGACGUGGUGACGCCAGUAGCACGAUGCGCUGUAGGCAGCACGGCUCUUCCACCAGUCCAGUCAAUGCUAUCCAACGUGAAACAGCGAAGCCUUCACGUUGGGCGCGAAGCAAACUCUACCAGUUAUUGUGCCAUGGUAAAGAAAUACUAACUUCAGGAUCCAGCAGUAUGUAACAUCGCUGGGGACCCUUGAAGCUGAAUGGAGCCGUGUUCCUGUAAUGCUCCAGUUGAGCUAAUAUCGUGAACUGUAAGACUGAUGUUCCCAGGGCUGCACUCCCAGCUGUUUUAAACAGGAAGCUCUUCCACUAUCGCUUCAGUUCAGCAAACAAGGCCGCUUCCUUAACAAUACAAUAACAGGAAUUUGAUCAGAAACUUCAAAAUUCAGUUUGCGAAGUCAUGAAGGUGAUUGCUUUCAUUCUUGCAUUAUCUCCAGUAUUUAGCUAUAAAACUUAUGCUUUUUGUUUGGAAAAAAAUGGCUUUCCUCAUAUUCUUUUCACAAGGAGGGGUCUGACUUUUUUACGAUCAUUAAAAUAUUGUUCCUGUUUUGUGAGA